AACCAUCAACCCCUCCGAGGUUUUCACAACCUUGCGAGAGGCUUGGAAUUGAGGGACCUUGCCGGAUUCGUCAAGAGUCGGGCUCCCUCGAAAGUCAUCGGCUUGUGAUAUCCCCGAUGCUGAAUGGCGUGAUAGGCAAUAUCUACGUCUGGAGCUUGAAGGGUGCACGAACGAGCCUUUCAUUUGCAGGCCUUGCCCCUCUUUCGGGGUGAACCUCUCUUUCU
rnacentral:misc_RNA from 1 species